rnacentral:rRNA from 27 species
CGGGGCUACCCGCUGAGUUUAAGCAUAUCAAUAAGCGGAGGAGAAGAAACUUACAAGGAUUCCCCUAGUAACGGC